rfam:Thermovirga lienii DSM 17291, complete genome.
GCAACCAACACGCUGAAUUCCCUGAAGGGAAACGGGGGACCCAAUCUUCAGGGGUGAAUCCCACGUAAGUGGGUAGGGCUAGUCUCUUUCGGCCCGAACCCGUCAGCUAACCUCGUAAGCGUGGAAAGAGGGUUUAU